rnacentral:rRNA from 1 species
GCAAGUCGAGGGGCAGCAUAAAUUACUUGUAAUUUGAUGGCGACCGGCGAACGGGUGCGUAACGCGUAUGCAACCUACCUUUUACUAGAGAAUAGCCAAGAGAAAUUUUGAUUAAUGCUCUAUACACUUUAAGACACACAUGAGUCUAAAAGAAAAGCUCCGGCGGUAAAAGAUGGGCAUGCGUUCUAUUAGCUUGUAGGUGAGGUAACGGCUCGCCUAAGCUUCGAUAGAUAGGGGUCCUGAGAGGGAGACCCCCCACACUGGUACUGAGACACGGACCAGACUUCUACGGAAGGCAGCAGUAAGGAAUAUUGGACAAUGGAGGCAACUCUGAUCCAGCCAUGCCGCGUGAAGGAAGAAGGCCCUAUGGGUCGUAAACUUCUUUUAUACAGGAAGAAAUCUUUCCACGCGUGGAAAGUUGACGGUACUGUAAGAAUAAGGAUCGGCUAACUCCGUGCCAGCAGCCGCGGUAAUACGGAGGACCCAAGCGUUAUCCGGAAUUAUUGGGUUUAAAGGGUCCGCAGGCUGUUUGUUAAGUUAGAGGUGAAAUCCUACCGCUCAACGGUAGAACUGCCUUUAAAACUGGCAAACUUGAGUUAUUGUGAAGUAAUUAGAAUGUGUAGUGUAGCGGUGAAAUGCAUAGAUAUUACACAGAAUACCGAUUGCGAAAGCAGAUUACUAACAACUAACUGACGCUGAGGGACGAAAGCGUGGGUAGCGAACAGGAUUAGAUACCCUGGUAGUCCACGCCGUAAACGAUGGUCACUAGCUGUUUGAUGUACAUUGGUACAUUGAGUGGCUAAGCGAAAGUGAUAAGUGACCCACCUGGGGAGUACGCUCGCAAGAGUGAA